rfam:Brassica napus, WGS project CCCW01000000 data, contig: 13404
AGAGAAAGGAUCCAAAGGGAUCGCAUUGAUCCUAAUUAAGCUGAAUUUAUUCCCAAAUAAUUGUUAUAUUUUUCUCAAUCUAAAGAAAAAGUCCCAAAAAUCUGCUUCGUUUUCAGGAUCAUGCGAUCUAUUUGGAUUCAUCCUU